rnacentral:rRNA from 1 species
AACGAACGCUGGCGGCAUGCCUAACACAUGCAAGUCGAACGCCCCGCAAGGGGAGUGGCAGACGGGUGAGUAACGCGUGGGAAUCUACCUAGUUCUACGGAACAACCGAGGGAAACUUCUGCUAAUACCGUAUACGCCCUAAGGGGGAAAGAUUUAUCGGAAUUAGAUGAGCCCGCGUAAGAUUAGCUAGUUGGUGGGGU